rnacentral:rRNA from 1 species
GCACGGAGUUAGCCGGGGUUUCUUUACCAGAUACUGUCAUUAUCAUCUCUGGCGAAAGAGCUUUACGACCCUAAGGCCUUCAUCACUCACGCGGCAUGGCUGGAUCAGGCUUGCGCCCAUUGUCCAAGAUUCC